GAGUUUGAUCUUGGCUCAGGACGAACGCUGGCGGCGUGCUUAACACAUGCAAGUCGAACGGUAAGGCUCCAGCUUGCUGGGGUACACGAGUGGCGAACGGGUGAGUAACACGUGGGUGACCUGCCCUGCACUUCGGGGAUAAGCCUGGGAAACUGGGUCUAAUACCGGAUAGGACCGCACCGUGAGGGUGUGGUGGAAAGUUUUUUCGGUGUGGGAUGGGCCCGCGGCCUAUCAGCUUGUUGGUGGGGUAAUGGCCUACCAAGGCGGCGACGGGUAGCCGGCCUGAGAGGGUGGACGGCCACAUUGGGACUGAGACACGGCCCAGACUCCUACGGGAGGCAGCAGUGGGGAAUAUUGCACAAUGGGCGGAAGCCUGAUGCAGCGACGCCGCGUGGGGGAUGACGGCCUCGGUUGUAACGUACC
rnacentral:rRNA from 1 species